AGGUGACCUCGGAUCAGGUAGGGAUACCCGCUGAACUUAAGCAUAUCAAUAAGCGGAGGAAAAGAAACCAACAGGGAUUGCCUCAGUAACGGCGAGUGAAGCGGCAAGAGCUCAAAUUUGAAAUCCGGCCCCCCUGGGGGCCUGAGUUGUAAUUUGCAGAGGAUGCUUCGGGCGCGACCGCGGUCCAAGUCCCCUGGAACGGGGCGUCGUAGAGGGUGAGAAUCCCGUCUCCGGCCGGCCGGUCUCGCCCGUGUGAAGCUCCUUCGACGAGUCGAGUUGUUUGGGAAUGCAGCUCCAAAUGGGUGGUAAAUUUCAUCUAAAGCUAAAUACUGGUCGGAGACCGAUAGCGCACAAGUAGAGUGAUCGAAAGAUGAAAAGCACUUUGAAAAGAGAGUUAAACAGCAUGUGAAAUUGUUGAAAGGGAAGCGCUUGCGACCAGAGUCGGCCGCGGGGGUUCAGCGGGCAUUCGUUGCCCGUGCAAUCCCCCGCGGCCGGGCCAGCGUCGGUUUCGACGGCCGGUCAAAGGCCCCCGGAAUGUGUCGCCUCUCGGGGCGUCUUAUAGCCGGGGGUGCAAUGCGGCCAGUCGGGACCGAGGAACGCGCUCCGGCACGGACGCUGGCUUAAUGGUCGUCAGCGACCCG
rnacentral:rRNA from 1 species